AUUUCAAAUGCCAGUAUGUUUAUAAAAUCAUACCAUCAUUGUGCUAAACAAGUAGAGUCUGUAUGGUGAUGAUUUUCUAUCCCUUUUCUUCUCUUAAGGUUUAGAACAUCCACAAAUGCAUCUAUUCCGUUUGAUGCUACGUACUGACCCCUGUAGAAGCUUUCAAAUAUACCUUUAGGAGUGUGAACCCCAGUUUUUGAUCAGUAAAGUUCAUCCCUGCCAAGCAAAAAAUGAAAUAAUUAAUAUUUUGAGUGUAUAUAUUUAGAUGUUUGUUAGUUGAUAUAACUGUUUUACUUACUCUAUGUUUGCAAACGUAGCAAAUGUAUAUCGGAUCACACUCAAUUCUUGAUUCAAGAGUGCUUCGUGCAUGUUUACCACUCUAUUGCAAUAAGGGGAACAAAAUGCGUCUCCAAGUUCUGCACAUCUUUUCUCAGCUCGAAUUUUGGCUGCUUCUAUUGUUUUAUAAAGGAGUUCAUUUAACCCCUUUGGUAGAACUUGUUUUGGAACUUGCUUUGGCUUUGAGUUUUUCUCCCCCUAGCUGGUUUUUUUUGCUUAUUUUCUUCCAUGCUGGGUCCCAGGCUCAAAAGCAACUCAACUGACUGCAAUUCCUCAGCCGUCACCUGAGGGCAUUCUACUCCCGGUUCCUUCUCAACUUCGAUAGCCGAAUUGGUUUGUUAAGGGUCUUUUUGUGUAGUUUCUCCUAAAGAAACUGCUUCCACUUCUGGCUCUUUUUCUUGAAUGUUUUGUGUAGAUUCUGCCAAGUUCACUGUUUCUUCGAUAACAGUUUCGUUUUCACCAGUUUCUGCAGGCCAGAGUGGUUUGCAAGCGUAUACACCCGUUUCGACAGUUUGAAUGUUUGCAAUAAGUGUGUCUGUCACUCCUCCAUCAUCUUUAUUUGUUAAUCCUUCAUCAUCUGGCUGCAGUACCCCUAUAGAUGCAAAUUAUUGAAUUUUAAUACAUCAGAAUCAAAAUCGCAUGGUAUACAUGACAUUGCAUGCGAAAUCAAAAUGUGAAGUGUUUGUAUGAAAUCACAUGUGGUUUUUUUAAGGCUGUUGAUGAUCAUGGGAGGGUGCAGUUUCAUGCUCUUGAACCGAAUCAGGUGGCACACAAAUGGGAUGAUUCCGAAGCGUCUCAUCCCACUACUUACAGGCCUCCAUAAUCUCCGGAUCCCAAAAACACUUAGUUUUUGCUUCCGAAACUAAGUUGUUCAUCCCUUGAACAUCUUGAACCAUUUUAAUGUAUUUUUUGACAUUUGCUUUCAUUUUCUUCAACAGGUUCUGUAAUAAUUUUCGAGUUAAGAUACUAUCAAUCCAGAUGUUAAAUAUAAAUGGAUUAAGUGAAA